GCCUACGGGAGGCAGCAGUAGGGAAUCUUCCACAAUGGACGAAAGUCUGAUGGAGCAACGCCGCGUGGAGGAUGAAGGUUUUAGGAUUGUAAACUCCUUUUGUUAGAGAAGAUUAUGACGGUAUCUAACGAAUAAGCACCGGCUAACUCCGUGCCAGCAGCCGCGGUAAUACGGAGGGUGCAAGCGUUACUCGGAAUCACUGGGCGUAAAGAGUGCGUAGGCGGGGGAAUAAGUCAGAUGUGAAAUCCUGUAGCUUAACUACAGAACUGCAUUUGAAACUGUUACUCUGGAGUGUGGGAGAGGUA
rnacentral:rRNA from 1 species